rnacentral:tRNA from 1 species
GAUUCGUUGGCGCAGUUGGUAGCGCGCCAGUCUAACAGGAUCUGAUCCAGUUGUGCACUGAAGGUCGCAGGUUCGAGCCCUGCACGAAUCA